rnacentral:rRNA from 1 species
CCUACGUGAGGCAGCAGUGAGGAAUAUUGGUCAAUGGGCGCGAGCCUGAACCAGCCAAGUAGCGUGAAGGAUGACUGCCCUACGGGUUGUAAACUUCUUUUAUAAAGAAAUAAAGUGAGGCACGUGUGCCUUUUUGUAUGUACUUUAUGAAUAAGGAUCGGCUAACUCCGUGCCAGCAGCCGCGGUAAUACGGAGGAUCCGAGCGUUAUCCGGAUUUAUUGGGUUUAAAGGGAGCGUAGAUGGGUUGUUAAGUCAGUUGUGAAAGUUUGCGGCUCAACCGUAAAAUUGCAAUUGAUACUGGCAGUCUUGAGUACAGUUGAGGUAGGCGGAAUUCGUGGUGUAGCGGUGAAAUGCUUAGAUAUCACGAAGAACUCCGAUUGCGAAGGCAGCUUACUAAACUGCCACUGACAUUGAUGCUCGAAAGUGUGGGUAUCAAACAGGAUUAGAUACCCCAGUAGUC